rnacentral:misc_RNA from 1 species
UAGGGAGACCUAAUCCAUUUAGAAAUCGAAAACAAUGAAAAUUGUCAAUAGAAACUAAAUUGGUCUAACCUAGGUCGUUCGAGAUUGGUAGACAUCUUUCAAAGUAUUAUUCGGCUUCGUUCAAAACCAUAUAUAAUAAAUGGAAAAAGACAGCACCUAAUUGUCAAAGUUAGACUGCUGGAUGAAGUUCCAGCCAGAGCCUUGAAAACUGCAUAAGAGAACAAGAAAAAGCAGGCAGACACAGACAUUUAGAUGGAUGUGGAAGCAAAAGAAAUUGU